UGGGCCUACGGGAGGCAGCAGUCGGGAAUAUUGCGCAAUGGAGGAAACUCUGACGCAGUGACGCCGCGUGCAGGAAGAAGGUUUUCGGAUUGGAAACUGCUUUAGACAGGGAAGAAAAAAGACAGUACCUGUAGAAUAAGCUCCGGCUAACUACGUGACAGCAGCCGCGGUAAUACGUAGGGAGCAAGCGUUAUCCGGAUUUAUUGGGCGUAAAGGGUGCGUAGACGGAGAAGCAAGUUAGUUGUGAAAUACCUCGGCUUAACUGAGGAACGGCAACUAAAACUACUUCCCUUGAGUACU
rnacentral:rRNA from 1 species